CGGUAUAUAGCCCAUCGGCGCAGCCGUGUAUGCAGCCAUAUCCGACGUGUGUGAAGAAGGCCUUCGGGUUGUAAAGCACUUUCAGCGAGGAGGAAAGGGCUGUAGCUAAUAUCUGCUGACUGUGACGUUACUCGCAGAAAAAGCACCGGCUAACUCCGUGCCAGCAGCCGCGGUAAUACGGAGGGUGCAAGCGUUAAUCGGAAUUACUGGGCGUAAAGCGCACGCAGGCGGUUGGAUAAGUUAGAUGUGAAAGCCCCGGGCUCAACCUGGGAAUUGCAUUUAAAACUGGCCGGCUAGAGUCUUGUAUAGGGGGGUAGAAUUCCCGGUGUAGGGGUGAAAUGCGAAAAGAUCUGGGAGGAAUAAGGGUGGCCAAGGGGGCCCCAAUUAAACAACACUGACCCCCGGGUGGGGAAGGCCCCCGGAACAUUACAUGGAAUUUUAACCCGGGGGGCCCAAACCCCCCAGGGAUGUCAAUUUUAGAGGGUGUGUUCCCUGAAGCCCGGCUUCAAGGGACCAACCCCCCAAAUCGACCUCCUUGGCGGGUUGGACACCAGGGUUUUAAUCCUGUUUUGUCCCCGGCCCUUUCAACUGAGGAUCAUGUUUUUUCAAUGGGGCCCCCUCUCGCAACCGUAUCCCCCCCAAACAUUUACCCAUUCCCGCCUACACCGGGAAUUUUCCCCCCCUUACCGAAACCCGGGCUGCCUUUUGAAAUGCAUUCCCAGGUGAGACCGGGGUUUUACUCCAAAUAUACAACCCCCCCGCUUCUCUUUUUCGCCCGUUAUUCGCAUAAAACCUGGGCACACCCCAUUAUACCGCUCGCGGGCGGAGAGUACCCUGCUUCUUCUCGGGGACACACAUCGGCGAUAUAUCACACAGCUUCCUCUCCCUGAAGAGCUUAUAACCCAGGCGUCUCUCACACGCAGAUGCUAAGAGUGUCGCAUUUGCGAUACACUCGUGCCGGAAGAAAAAAAAA
rnacentral:misc_RNA from 1 species